rnacentral:misc_RNA from 1 species
GAAAAGAAUGACAUCUCAAACCCAAAUCACAGAUUCUUUAUCUUUUCCCAAACUUUGUGUCGUUUUCCCUGUGAAUGUUGGAAGACAGAGAGAGAAUGGACAUGUAUGAAAAGUGAAAGAAAGAAAAGAAGAAAUCAUGGUCAACCCAAAAAGGUAAAGCAGAUAUUAGUCAGAGGCACAUUCUGAUCUUGUUUGUUAGCAUAUUUGACA